CCCCUCCUAGAUUGGUCCAGGUCAAGAUUCCCUCAAAGAAUUCCCGGCCUGGGGGGGGCAGGGGGCGGUUGGGACCCCCUGGAGGGGG